rnacentral:rRNA from 1 species
CCAGACUCCUACGGGAGGCAGCAGUGGGGAAUAUUGCACAAUGGGGGAAACCCUGAUGCAGCGACGCCGCGUGGGUGAAGAAGUACUUCGGUACGUAAAGCCCUAUCAGCAGGGAAGAAAAUGACGGUACCUGAUUAAGAAGCCCCGGCUAACUACGUGCCAGCAGCCGCGGUAAUACGUAGGGGGCAAGCGUUAUCCGGAUUUACUGGGUGUAAAGGGAGCGUAGACGGCAUUGCAAGUCCGGAGUGAAAGCCCACGGCCCAACCGUGGGACUGCUCUGGAAACUGUAGAGCUGGAGUGCGGGAGGGGCAGGCGGAAUUCCUAGUGUAGCGGUGAAAUGCGUAGAUAUUAGGAGGAACACCGGCGGCGAAGGCGGCCUGCUGGACCGUAACUGACGUUGAGGCUCGAAAGCGUGGGGAGCAAACAGGAUUAGAUACCCUUGUA